GGUCACCACUGAGGAGAUAUUAUAUUAUGCACGAAUGGAUGGAUCCUUGUCCACUGCAGGUCUGAAAGUGAUUAAUUUGAAGCAGUGUGAUGGAUACCGUGAAGCCUAUCAAAAUUGGCAUUGUUUUUAUACGUUGUUAGAACAGACGUGCAUGGGUAAAAGCAAUAGGAUUUUCAAAUACAUAACGAUGGCUGCUUAUUUAGGUUAAGGUUAUAAUGAAUUUAUUACAUCUCUCACUUGUUGGAUUCUAACUGUAAAAGGUACUGCUCUCUUUUUGCUAUUCUUGCCAACACAGCAAGGG
rnacentral:misc_RNA from 1 species